rnacentral:rRNA from 1 species
CCUACGGGGUGCUGCAGUGGGGAAUAUUGCGCAAUGGGCGAAAGCCUGACGCAGCGACGCCGCGUGAGGGAUGAAGGUCUUCGGAUCGUAAACCUCUGUCAGCAGGGAAGAACGGUCACUGUGCUAAUCAGCAGUGAAUUGACGGUACCUGCAAAGGAAGCACCGGCUAACUCCGUGCCAGCAGCCGCGGUAAUACGGAGGGUGCGAGCGUUAAUCGGAAUUACUGGGCGUAAAGCGCUCGUAGGCGGUAUGUCAAGUCAAGGGUGAAAUCCCCGCGCUCAACGUGGGAACUGCCUUUGAAACUGGCAAACUGGAGUGUGUGAGAGGAUAGUGGAAUUCCAGGUGUAGGAGUGAAAGCCGUAGAUAUCGGGAGGAACAUCAGUGGCGAAGGCGACUAUCUGGCACAUAACUGACGCUGAGGAGCGAAAGCGUGGGUAGCAAACAGGAUUAGAUACCCCAGUAGUC